rnacentral:rRNA from 1 species
UACGGAGGGUGCAAGCGUUAUCCGGAUUCACUGGGUUUAAAGGGUGUGUAGGCGGGUCUGUAAGUCAGUGGUGAAAUCUCCGAGCUCAACUUGGAAACUGCCAUUGAUACUAUAGGUCUUGAAUUUUGUUGAGGUAGGCGGAAUAUGUCAUGUAGCGGUGAAAUGCAUAGAUAUGACAUAGAACACCGAUUGCGAAGGCAGCUUACUAAGCAAAUAUUGACGCUGAGGCACGAAAAGCGUGGGGGAUCAAAACAGG